CUCCCAGCAGCAUCCCUCCCAGUUCCGGAGACACAGGUCCGGCUGAGCGUGCGCCGCGGAGCAGCUGGACCGUGCGGGGCUCCGUCCGCAGAGGAGCCCUUCCCGCUGGGCGCCCGGAACGCGGGGUCCUGGGUCCGGCCGGCGGGGUGGCCAAAGCGGGCAGCAAAGGUGCGGAAGAGGCAGGUCUGGCCUCAAUGCCCGUGACACCGCCUGAGACCCGAAGCGUCCUUGCUUUCUCCUCUCCUGGUGCCAUGGAUGCUGCAGUCUCCUCCACACUCGGGACAUGCUCCUGAAGCUGAGAUGCCCUCACCCUAUGCACACCCACGUCUUCUGUCUCCAGCAAAGGAAAGGAUUCAGAGGUGCCAGCCCACAGGCUUCUCUUCUGCGUUACUGCUCUUGACAGCCACCAGGAGGUGCCACACGUCUCCCAGGCUGGACGAGCGAUCUUCCAGGUGGGAGCAGGAGGAUACAAUUCCCAUGCCAGGAAUGCUUCUUGUCACUGGAUAAAGCCCAAAUCUCCAUAAUACAGCCUUCUGUUUUUAUACGACCACGAAUUUUUGAUAUCUUUGACUCCCCAGUAAGCAUGCAAUUUCCAAAUGUAAACUAUCCCUAAAUUAUAGUUUUCCCCAACUCUAA